GGGCACCACCAGGAGUGGAGCCUGCGGCUUAAUUUGACUCGAACACGGGGAAACUCACCAGGUCCAGACACAAUAAGGAUUGACAGAUUGAGAGCUCUUUCUUGAUUUUGUGGGUGGUGGUGCAUGGCCGUUCUUAGUUGGUGGAGUGAUUUGUCUGCUUAAUUGCGAUAACGAACGAGACCUUAGCCCUUAAAUAGAGUUGCUGGCAUUUGCUGGUAAAUCUUCUUAUGGGGACUAUCGAUUUCAAGUCGAUGGAAGUUUGAGGCAAUAACAGGUCUGUGAUGCCCUUAGACGUUCUGGGCCGCACGCGCGCUACACUGACGGAGCCAGCGAGCUUUUCCUUAGCCGAGAGGUUUGGGUAAUCUUGUGAAACUCCGUCGUGCUGGGGAUAGAGCAUUGUAAUUAUUGCUCUUCAACGAGGAAUUCCUAGUAAGCGCAAGUCAUCAGCUUGCGUUGAUUACGUCCCUGCCCUUUGUACACACCGCCCGUCGCUAGUACCGAUUGAAUGGCUUAGUGAGGCUUCAGGAUUUGCUUAGAUCGAGGGGCAACUCUCUUUCAGAGCGGAGAAUCUAGUCAAACUUGGUCAUUUAGAGGAACUAAAAGUCGUAACAAGGUUUCCGUAGGUGAACCUGCGGAAGGAUCAUUA
rnacentral:ncRNA from 1 species